UUGACUGGCUGUUACUAGUUUGUCCGUUCUGCCCUACCGUAGGAAAAUGGUGAUGAAAGAUGGCGGCGUUCACGGUAAGGAAACUCUUCGAAUAUUGAUAGAUUUUGUUCAUCUAAAAAUAUAAUUCAACACUUUAUACUCAAAGUAUCACCAAUGUGCCAUUAUGUUUGUAUUUUGACGAAAAUAGAACGUUUACAAAAAAAAUAAACAAAUCUUCAAAUGUCGAUACAAAAAGUCCAGUUUAAGUUAACAACAAUAGUUGUUUUUUAUUUUAUAAGUUAUUUAUAUUCAGGUGAUUAAACUCUAAUUUAAAAAUAUUUAUCAAACUCCAACCUUCACAAUCAAUACCUACACUUUAGGAUAAAAUGGUAUUUAAACUUAAAAAGUCUUCUGUGCCUUAAUUUUAAUCAACUAAACACAAAAUUAUAGAUUAUUUUGAUCAAAUUUCAUCUUCUAAACCAAGAGACACGUCUUUAUUUCUAGUACACUUAAGAUGUAAUGAUUUGACAAUGUUGUUUGGGAGAAAAAUGGGUAGACCAUUUGAUAAUUUAAGUAAUCUCUUAGCAGUGUCCUCUUCAGGCUAGAAAAAUCAUCCCAAAAUUAUUUUAAUCAACAUCAGGGUUGUCAGCUCUGCUUUAUCAGGACUGUGUGUGUCUGUACAAGUGUGUGUGUGUGUGUGUGUGUGUGUGUGUGUGUGUGUGUGUGUGUGUGUGUGUGUGUGUGUGUGUGUGUGUGUGUGUGGCGUGUCCUACAAUUCGACUGACAGCUGCAUCCUCCAAGCAAUCCCAGCAACAAACCAGCAGCGACCAUCUUCUCCUAUUUCCACUUUAUGGUCACAUCUGAUCUUCUUUCUAACUUUAAACCUAAAAAAAGGCACAAAAGACAAAUCUGUACGACCAUAAUUUGAAUUAAAAGAAAUGUGUUAGCCAUUGUUUUUUUCUACAGCGAUCACAGACUGCAGUACCAGCUGUAAUUAACAUCUUUAGGUGCUCACACUUCAAGGCUGUGCCCGAUGUGCUAAUUAUCUCUCACUGUGUCCAUAAAUACCUCAUAAUCACGCUGUAAUCUUUUAUCCCAAAUUGCGGUCUCAAUAAUGUUGUACAGUGUAGUCCACAAGCUAUAAUGAGCUCUUUCUGCAUGUUUUGGUGCAUUGUACAUACUUAUGUGUUGCUUGGGAGUGUGAGCUCAGCGGUUCAGUGGCAGUCUGUGUCUGAUCUGAUUGAUGGAGACGGUAGAGGAGGCAGAGAAGCUACAGGCUUCUCAUUAACCUAUGAUAAUGCACCUGUCACCCUGAUAGCAAAGCCUUCCAGCACAUUUGUUUCAGGUAGCUCCUUCCCUCUGUUUCUCGCCUGAUUUACCUACUUCAACUUGCUGCUUCUGUUUCUUUUUUCUACUCUGAUUUUUUGAGCAGUAUUGUGUCAACAUGCCCCAAAGCAUAGGGCAUUGAGCCCUUGUUUUGAGUGGUUUUGCUUCCCCUCUUUCAGAUUAAUAAUAAUGCGUUAAGUAAAAACCAGGACCAGGAUUGAUGGGGCAUCAACCAGUCCUGCUAUAUUUUAAUUUCUUAACAGACUACUCAUCUUCCAACCCCUCCAAAGUGUCUAACAGUCUGUGUUAUCAUACGACAUAUACCCUCUCAAAGUGUUGUAGCUUUCUUCUUCUUUCUUUCUGUUUCAGUAUUCAUAGAUCCCUUUUGAAGCGUGUGUGCAAAGUUUUUAAAAAACUACUAAAUGAGGUUACACUAUUAAAACUUAAAAACAUGUCUGAGCUAGGAAAGACUUAAGCAACGUUCAAAGUGAAUAACAGGAUUCAUAUGCAGUGCAUCCAGCCCAAAGCAAUAAACCCUGUCAAACAUGCAGUCAGCAUCAGAAGCUGGAACAUGACCUCUAAAACUUGCUUUUAAGAAUUCAAAUCAACAUGACUGUCAAUCCCGUGUAAAAUACUAAUACUAUUUUACUGUAUAUCUAAGGUUUCCAAAUAUGAAAGCUGGGAUACAGCUGUAUAUGUCAGUAUCAAAUGUUAGCUAGCUAGUAGUUGAAUGCAAAUGUUAACUGCUGCACAAACCUGUUACUUUAAUCGCUAAACGUGUGUCAAACAAACUCCCUCAUAAUAUUUGCCACCAGUCAGCCUGAACUUGUAGCUAAACUAAUGUUACUCCAGGAAAUGUAACCAUAGACUGUAUAUAGAAUGGACGCUGUCUGCCUCCUCGCUGGGUGAAGCCACUCUGAGAACAGCACCCUCUGGUGACGGGCUGCAGUAUAGGUCAUAAAUUCUGCCUCCUCCAGCAAUCCUUGUAGGGUUGUGGACAGAAAUUAAUUACACAGAAUAUACAUUUUUCUCCCUCCUGCUUGUGAUGUUGACAUGUAGUUUUUGUAAGACUAGUUUGUGCUGAAGUCCUCUUUUUUUCUGUACAGCCUUAUUUUUAAAAGUUAUUAGGGGGUUCAUGUUUUCUAUGAUUGACACUUGAUUCAGCCUAUGGGGAUACCCUGUUUGGGCCGAGCGUCAUCACAGUGACUCUCUGCGACUCUCCCGCCCAUUGUGUACAACGCUACUGCGUAAGUGGCGAAUUGUGUACAAUGCUACUGCGCAAUGUUGGUUUCAGGAAAUGGAGAAAAAACGCGGAAAUAUCGAGAGCUUUUCGGCUUCAAAUCCGUAUACCGGCAGAAGGCAGAACCAAGUUGUCCAUAGUAUAUACAGUCUAUGUAUACGUCUGUAUCAAAUGUUAGCUUGCUAGCUAGUAGUUGAAUGCAAGUGUUAGUUAUUGAAACAGGUUCUUAAAAAUCUUAUUUUAUCUUUUCACGAUCUGUUACCUCAAUCGCUAAAGGUGAGAAACAAACUCCCUAAAAAUAUUUGCCACCAGUCAGCCUGAACUUGUAGCUUAACCAGUAUUACUCCAGGAAAUGUAACCAGCAACAACCAAACUGUAAUUAUAUAAAACUUAUCCCAGUGAACUUCUUUUAACUUAUGGAGAGCUGGAGUGGCUCGUUCUGUAGCUGCUCUCCUAUCAUAAUAUUUAAAAGUCAACUUCUCCCCAACAGAAAGGCUCCAGCUACUCCACCAGAUGUCUUUUCUUUAUGAAGCCUGUUCCAGACAGUUUCCCCGCUCUCCAGAGAGCCUGUGUGUGAUUUAUUUAUCCUAUCUGUACAUUGAGUGCCGGGGACGCACCCUGAGAACACACAGGACUUGGGGAACAACAGCAAGUUGAGCUGUUUUGAAAGCAGCAUCAAGAAAAGGCGAGGGCUGUGAGGUCAGAUAGUGAAUCUGUCUGGACAUUAAACUGUAUGUCAGAAGUGUUUCUCAGGCUGCUUCAGAACAUGUAGAGAGAGUCAUAUACUGAGUUAAGGGUGUUUAGGUUCUUGGGGUUCGGGGGAGUUAAUCUUCAGAAGCUCCUAUUAGUCACUCUGUCAGAUGUUGGAGAGAUAGACCAAACUGUGCUGGUACCAUUUGAUGCCAAGCAGCCUUUGGAGUUCAAAUUCUGCGAUACUGGCAGGACUUGAUCAUGAUUAAAGAAUGAGCAUGUGUGGUGUUGGGAUGUCUCUGGCAUGGCUCUUUGCUUCAACCUCUAAUCUUGUCUGUUUCAUCUCAUGCCAUGCAAAUCUCUCAGAGGACGAUCAAGCAUUAGUGUUUUCACGUCUCUGGAUGAUAGCUGCUGCUUUGUUUGUGUUGGAUACCAGCUGCUCUCAUUAAGGGAAAGACAAGGGGAAAAUAAAAAGAGGGACACCCCUUCCUGGGGUCAGCCCUUCCUGUUCGAAAAGCAGACGGCUUCCUGUUGGGGCCCUGUCGUGUGACACAUGUGGCACCUCUUUGUCCCUCAGCGUUCAUCCUCAGCUUUUCGGUGGGAAACCUGCUUUUCAUUUAGGUUAUGCAAACAUCCUGCCAUCCUUGUUGAUGAAUGCACAAGCAGAUCUCCAAGAUGUGAAAGAAUUCACAAGUAGAUUACGUCAACAACAAACAGAUAAGAGAUAAAAGAGCGCUCUUGUGGGUAUCUCAGAAAUUACUGUACAAUAUUAAAGCAACCUAAAAUUUUUGGUGUCACUCUGAGCAGUGUUUGGCAGUAUUUAUCUUCAGAGCUGUCAUUAGGAAAAGACAGGCUUUCAGCAUGAGUGCCCAUUUAUUUCCACUGCUAACUGAGUGCAGCUGAAACAGACAGAAAACAAGCCUCUCCUGAUGUGAGGAGUGCAGAGUGGAUAUCCUUAACAUGGCAGCCUGCUGUGUCUCACAUAGAAGGACAACACACUGGGCGUAACAGGAGCGAAUAAUAGACGCCGCUGCCUCAAAGAGUAAUAAUCAAGCUUAAUGGAUAGAAAGAAAAGGAGUAAACGGUAAAUUUAUGCAUAUGUAAUCAUGAGAGAAAAGAGGUGGGGAGCAGAGCGGAUGGCCUUCAGUGGAAUAUUCUCGUGUGCUGAUUAGCGAAGUCGUGAUAAUGAGAUUCAUUGACAGGCUAAUAUGGAAAACAGCAUGCCCCCUGCUGUGGCUGUCUGUGCCGUCCCUCUUCCUCAGUCCCCCUUCCUCCUCCUCGUGUAUUUUGCUCUAUUUCUCAAUGUUCUUCCUCUUCUUCACAGAGGGAGUCGUGUUUACACAGAAGUGAGACAGCAGGGGGAUCCAGCCUUUUGGGCCAACCUUUCCAACAAUCACAUUUAAAGAGUUGUACCUUUAACAUUACAUGCUUUCAAACAGACAUUCUGACUCCUAUUCCUGAGGCAGGAGGCGCAGACAGCCGAGACACACGUACUGCAUAUGCAUGCGCAAAAAGCACCCUGGGAUUUGGGUACAGGUGGCGCCACGUGACAGGCAGCCAGCUGGGCUACAUUACCAGGAGUAAUGACAAACGGCCCACUGCUGUUGGUUUUUUCGACUAUGAGAGUGUGCAUCACAGGCUGUCAGGUGCUGUCACUCAACAGACCUCUUCAAUGUGCACACCGUAUAUCAGACAAGUCCUUGAGGAUCCAUCUCUGGGCUCAGCAGAAAGCUGUGCAGGAAAAAGUAGGGGGCCCAGAUGUUUCAGCUCAGUAAGCUUAAGGAUGAGUUCAUGGCGCGAACAUCUGAGACUUUCAGUCCUGUUGACCCCAGAAAGAAACUCUUAAUCCAGAAAGUUCCAGGUCACACAUGUACAUAUCCUUCUAUAAGAGAGAGAGAGGAAUCGUGCGAUUCUUUUGUUCAGAUAAAUGGUGACCUAAUUACUUUUUUUGGCCUAAGAGAGCUUAAAAACAGAGAUGGAAGAGACAGCCAGAGGGGGAAACAGAAACAAAUGUGUUGGAAUGCCUCUGUCCGUGUGAGGGGAAGAGAAAAGGUAGGAAGAGAGAAAAAAUACGGGUGGACAGGGAGGUUUUAAGGAAAUACUUGAGACUGUGAUUGUGAACAGCAGGAAGGAGGGCUGGAGGUGUUUGCAGCCAGACAAAAAUGUCCCCCCUCCUAUUAAGCAGAAGUGUGUCUGUGAGUGUAGGUGAUCCUGUUUCAGGUCAAGAUAAAAAAAAAAAAAGAGAGAGACAGACUGGAGCUAAUGGUCUCCCCCGGGCCACACUCUUCCUCUGCAAUGUUAGUGGAUGGGCUGCUCACAACAAAAAGUGAGAGGUCAGCAGGGGUCAGAUGGAGGGAUGGAUCCCGGGGUGCUGCGUUUGCACUCUGGUCACAACAGCACACUUCCCCCAGCUGAAGAAAAACUCAACAAAGGCCAAACCACAAACAAACAUCCAGGAAAAAGUCACCCACAUGUCACUGAACACAGCGUCAGUCCACAGUCUUCAGCUGCAGGCAACAGAAACUGUAAAAUCAUGAUUGAUGUAGGCCAUCAUGUAACGCUUUCCAAGAAAAUGAUGGGUAGGAGGGUGAAAAUAUUUUUUGUGUUCCAGUUUAUUGUUGCUCUUAAUAUUCUAUUCUAGUUUUUCAGUGCUAAAAGAUAGGUUUGCAACAAUUAACUGUAAUACUGUAAUGUUUUGAAGUUUUAUAGAGGUUCAUAUUUAUAAGUAAAUAAUCAUACUUUUUUUUCCACUUUAAUUUUUAUUGAAAAAUGUUCCUUUACAAAGGUAUAACAACUAAUUUAAUACAAGAAAAUACACAAAAACAAAUGUUAACUAAUGGGAGUCACUUUCAAAGCAAUCUAUCUUUCAUUUUCUUUUACUCAAUCUAGUUUUUUGUUUUGUCCCAAAUUUUAUCCUAGUUUUUCACUUGGUUUGUAUUUCUCGCUGUCUGUCAAUAGCUAAUACAUGAGUGGUGUUGGAAAAAAUAAGAGGCAAAACUGAAGAAACAAUCUUCAGACCAAAGUAUCACACGUUUCUGUGACUUAACACCAAAUUAUUGACAAUAUCUAUGCAGUAAACUUCACCUGUAACUAUGGUAACUAAAACAUAUUCAGCAGCCUAUGAUAUUUAACACAUCUUAUGACUCUUGCCCUCCUUCUUUUUCUAACCUGUGAAUUACACAUGGCUACUGCUAGCAUGCCAACACCAGUGUGGAGAUUUUACCACUCUCUAUUUUAGGUCCUUCCCUGAGUGACACCCUUCCUCAAAUUUCCAAUUGAUAAAACUUUGUUCACUGUCUUGUCACUCAAAGAGGCUGACAGGAGAGAACAUAAAGUUGGUAACCUGCUAAAUUCUGAGCCUAUGACAGAGCAGUAACAGCUGGAUAUUUUUAGAGUUGUCCCCCAAAAUAAUCUCUUUUUGCAAUAUAUUCACUGAAGUCUGUCAAAGUGGGAAAUGCUUCAAGGCAAAGGAAACUGUCUGGCAGGAAAUAAGUGAUAAUGCCACUCUUUCUUCUUCUUCUCAAAAGGUCAGCAGCUUCUGGUCAGCUUAGGUGCUGUAGCAUAACAAAGCUGAAUACCUGAACUGUCUGUGUUUUUGUCCAAGUUUGGACCAUGUGGACACCAGAUUCUGAGAGAAAAUAGUUUCCAGGAUAAGACAAUGGGAGCAUAGCUUUUUGAUUAUUUUUUUUAGAUGGUGGGUCUGCCGGUGUUGUAGGAAUGUAUUUCUAAAUCACUGGAGUACCCUGUUCAGACCUUUGACAAAGUGAUGAACUUCUCAGUCGUAUUUGAACCCUUUCCCUUCCAGCCCAGCUUGUGUUUGUUUCUUCAGACCGUCCAGACAGCAGGAGAGGAUGAGCUCUGCAGUGAACCACCUUGCCCUUUACAGCUUGAGGCCAUGCAGUUACACCCACAGCUUUUAGGGAUCCAGCCUAUCACGUCACCAGUGGACAGGGGGGGGUCAUGUGAGACCAGUUAAGUCUUUUAUGAGGCCUUACCAGACAGACAGGGGGGAAUUGGGCUGAGGAACACUGUCUUUUAUGGGCUACUGGGGAAUAGUGUGUGCUUCCAUCUCAAAGCUGUUAAAGGUCUCCCUUUGCCUGGAGACUCUCACAGCCUGGGGGUGGACACCUGGGGGUGCACCUGGGUCCUGGAUGGAAAAAGAAGCUUAACUCCUUCUCUUCUUCAACAAGCUUUAUAUUCUCAUCUGACCACUAAGACUUUACAUAAAUCUUUGGAUGACAGGUUUCAAAAUCUAUGGCCUUGUUUUAGUGGAAGAAAAUCAACUGAAUCCCAACAUCAUCAUAAUAAUAAACACAUUUUUAAACGCAGUGGUUGAUUUUUUUAAUGUUUCUUUAUACCUAUAAAUAAAGACUGAAAAGGAAUUGAAGUUUAAAAGUGAUUGAAUCAACAGUAAACAGAGAAACUCUGGUGAUAUUUGGAGCCAGAACACUGUAUUUGAUAGCUAACUAGCUAAGUAAGACAACACCUAUCACUUUCAUUCAGGCUAACUGACAAGCUAACAAAUAAAUAAGCUAGUUAGAGUCUUUCUGCUGGUAUUACUAUGGCAAUGUAACAAAAAAAGGGGGGAAAUGUCCAGACUGCUUGCUAACAAGCUCUAUGAUUGACACCUGAUACAGCCUAUGGGCGUAAGAAGAUUGCCUAGCUCACCCAGGGGCGAAUUUUUUUUGUAGGAUGGUAGGGGACGGUCCUGCCUCCUUUGCCUCUGAUUGGCUAAAAGUAGAAGUGCUUGGCUACGAUUGGUUAUUCCUUAUGGCUGUAAAAGGUCAUCGUCUGUCGGGUUAGGGUUGGAGUUACGUUACCUCGGAAGUAAGAAGUCCAAGCUGAAAAUGACGUCACACCCGAGUUACCAGCUUCUCAGUUACCAAGUCAUAAAAAAGCAAAGAGGAGGCAGAAACAAGAUGGCUACAUCUUCAAAAGUUAGUUUAGUGCUUGCCUUGUCUGAAUAUAAGGCAAGCGCUAAAAUAACGUAGAUGUAGCCAUUUUGUUUCAGGCCUCCGAUUUCGCUUUUUUCCGACUUGGUAACUGAAACUCUGGUAACUGGUGUUACCAGAUUGAGCGUGGGAUGACGUUUCACAGCUGUAAGGAAUAACCAAUCGGAGCCCAGCUUUUCUAGCCAAUCAGAGGCGAAGGAGGCGGGACCUUCCCCUACCAUCAUACGGAAAAAAAUAUCGCACCUGGGGGAAACGCUGUUUGAGCCGAGCGUCAUCACAGCGACUCUCCCGCCGAAUGUGUACAAUGCUGCUGCACAAGUGGUGGAGAGUGUACAACGCUACUGGGCAAUGUCGGUUUCAGGAAACGGAGGAAAACGUAGAAUUACCGAGAACUUUUCAGCUUCAAAUCCGUAUACUGGCGAAAGGCGGAACCAAGUUGUCCAUAGUAUAUACAAUCUAUGAUCUGCACUGAUUCAUGCUUUUUGAUACAGUGAAUAUUCGGAAGGAAAUCUGGCUACAUUAUAAAUGAGAGACAUGUUUAUAGCUCAUUAGCCGUGUAAGACACCAUCUCACAUAUUACUGUUAUAUCAUAGGUGGCCUGUAGCUCUUGUGGUAUUACCAGGUAAAAUUAGAGCCAUGUAAAGUCCUUGCUAAAUAAGGUUGAAAAAGCAUAAAUACUGUAGUCUGCAGGUCUUAAUAUCAGCAGUUUUACGGUUUUAAAUGUGUCCCUCCCAGGCGCUCACUUUCAUCGCAUUUAAAUUUGCUGGUAAAUCCUGAAGCCUUAAAAAUGUAAAUGUCAAAUCCCCUGUAUUGAUGUGACAGGAGAAAAGUUAUACAGCAGUUUAUCAUCAUGAGAACAGUUCAGCUUUCGAGCCUGAGCUUGAAAUUGGUGGAAAAUCUGUGAAUCAGUGAGUUGAAGUUCUCAACAAACAACCAGCUCCAAGGAACUCUUUUAUGACAGUAUUGAGGGGAUUUUUCUUUGCUGAUGACCUGUUGCUUUUGGGAUUUUGAUCCUCCUGCCAAAGGCAACAGAAUUUAGCAGUCAAUGCAACAGUUUUUUUUUUUAAACCUUAUUAUACUCAUGAGGUUAGCUUGUGGUUCUGGUUAGUUUUAUAGUCAACAAGCAGCUGCAGGGAUUAGUGAACCCACUUUUACUGACCUUCUUCAUCUCAGCUGACAUGAACCUUUAUGGUCCACACAUGCCCCCACAAAUGUAUCACUCAGAAGAAUACUAUUCCCAUAAACCAGGGUGUGAUUAAAGCUACUGCAGGGACACGAAGGCAGGGCUGCACACCAAAGUGAGUUUUACUCUUUAGAUUUAACUCACAUCCUCUCCAGCUCGUAUUCCUCUAUCUGGUCAUCCAGAGAGCUGAGCAGUUUACUGCCAGAAAACAGAAUCUUUCUCCAGAUUGGCUUUGUCAUUUUGAUUCAUGUGGGGCACAGUCUAGUGAAUGUGUUAUUCUGUGAUCCUGUUCCCACUCUUCUGCUCCAUGCCCUCUUCCUGGUGUUAUUAACUUAGGACCUUAGACCUGCACUGUAAGAAAUAAUAGUCACAGGGGGAAGUUGGAAAAUGAUAAAGUGUUAGAGGAAAGUUUCCUUUUCUUUCACACUUUCCAAAUGUUUUUUUUCUCCUCCUAAAUCUUUCUGCUGAUUGAAAUCACACUAUCUUCUCUUAUUUUACCCUCUGCUGUGAGCUGAAGGUGGCUGGAUGAACAGCGUAACACAAGGGAGGAGGGAGAUAAAAGAGUGUGAAGAGGAAGGUACACUGAGGAGUAUCGAAAAAAGGCCUGAUUUGGCAUGCUGUGCAUGGCGCCAGAGAGCAGCGUGUGAUUGUGGGUGUAACAGCCUCCUUUACACCUCUUUUCUUUUCCUUUUCAGAUGUUGGAUCAUCAGCCACCAUGGGGAUUCUGUCUCUCACCACAGAGUGUGAUGAACACUGUGUUCACACAAAAUCAGGUGAAAUAUCAGCUUUUUGUUUAAUCAGAAACAUUAUUUCCUCACAUUGCAGAAAAUGUGCUUCAGGUGCAACUAUCUUUGAUCCUAAAGGAUGCAGUAUGAUGAUAUUGUGGUCGCAUAGCAUCCAGACUGGAACUGAUGAAAACACUCUGACUCCUGCAAAUAAGCACAAGUAAAACUGUUAGUAAACAUCUAAAUGUUCGUGCAGAUUAAACAACUACACGAUACCCC